rnacentral:misc_RNA from 1 species
GAUGAAGAACGUAGCGAAAUGCGAUACGUAAUGUGAAUUGCAGAAUUCAGUGAAUCAUCGAGUCUUUGAACGCACAUUGCGCCCCUUGGUAUUCCAUGGGGCAUGCCUGUUCGAGCGUCAUUUGUACCUUCAAGCUCUGCUUGGUGUUGGGUGUUUGUCUCGCCUCUGCGUGUAGACUCGCCUCAAAACAAUUGGCAGCCGGCGUAUUGAUUUCGGAGCGCAGUACAUCUCGCGCUUUGCACUCAUAACGACGACGUCCAAAAGUACAUUUUUACACUCUUGACCUCGGAUCAGGUAGGGAUACCCGCUGAACUUAAGCAUAUCAAUAAGCGGAGGA